CCUGCAGUUGCUCCAAGAGGCGUCCAGGAAGAGGAGGAAACGCAGCAGGAGGAGACACGGGAUUAACAACCUAGCUGGGCUGAAGACGGAGCUUGUCAACUGUACAAAUGGGAUUCCAGGAUGGGGAGGCCCAGGAGAAGAUUCGAUGACCCAGAUGGGCCCGGCCCGGCCUGUGUUCCCAGCUCCCACCCUGAUGCCCGCGGGAGCAGCUUCCCUCCCCAUGGUGACCAGGCGGGUUUCCCAGGCAGGGAAAUCCCGUGUUACGCUGGUCCGCUCGUGUUUCCUGGGGAGGGUCAGGCAGGAAGGAAAAGGGAGCCAGGUCCCCCGAGGCUGCGCUCACCCAGGGAUGCCAGC